AACUUAGUAAUGUAAAACAUAUCAAACUGUAAAUUUGGAAAAGCCUUAAGCCUAAGUUA
rnacentral:tRNA from 1 species